rnacentral:SRP_RNA from 1 species
UAAUCGGUCCCGUGCGAUAUGGCCCGUGAACCCCGUCAGGUCUGAGAGGAAGCAGCGGUAAGCGGUAAACCAUAUGCGCCGCGGAUCAACCGGUGGCUG